UCCUGGCUCAGAAUCAACGCUGGCGGCGUGCCUCAGACAUGCAAGUCGAACGAUUAAAGCUCUCUUCGGAGAGUGUAUAGAGUGGCGCACGGGUGAGUAACACGUAAGUAAUCUACCCUCGAGUGGGGAAUAACAACCGGAAACGGUUGCUAAUACCGCAUAAUGCAGCGGCACCGCAAGGUGACAGUUGUUAAAGAUUUAUCGCUUGAGGAGGAGCUUGCGGCAGAUUAGCUAGUUGGUAGAGUAACGGCUUACCAAGGCUACGAUCUGUAACCGGUCUAAGAGGACGGUCGGUCACACUGACACUGAAUAACGGGUCAGACUCCUACGGGAGGCAGCAGUCGGGAAUUUUGGGCAAUGGGCGAAAGCCUGACCCAGCAACGCCGCGUGAAGGAUGAGUAUUUCGGUAUGUAAACUUCGAAAGAAUAGGAAGAAUUAAUGACGGUACUAUUUAUAAGGUCCGGCUAACUACGUG
rnacentral:rRNA from 1 species